GUCUACAGCCAUGCCACCUUGAACGUGCCCAAUCUUGUCUGAUCUCGGAAGCUAAGCAGGAGUGGGCCUGGUUAGUACUUUGGAUGGGAGACUACCUUGGAAUACCAGGUGCUGUAGGCA
rnacentral:rRNA from 1 species